UUGGUUCAAGGAAGACUUUAAGAAAGAGUGUUUCUGCAGCUUUCUCAUCCUGAAUCAGCCUGUUUUCAAGUAUUUUCAGAAUAGAACAGCAAGGACAUUGGUUUUACUUCUGCAUUUGAAGAAUGGACCUGCACAGGGAACCAACUCUGAAGCAGCCUUUCUUUCCAAGAUGCUCAGGGAGGGAAUUACGAUUGCACUGUCGUCCUGGGCGACCUGCAGGCAGCACACGGGAGAUGCACGUGGCCCUGGUCAUGCAGUCGCCUGGUGUCCUUGUUGACACCGUGUCACGGUCCUUCCGGAAGGGUGGCUCCACAUGGAAGGCUGUGCUGCUUCGUGGAGCCCAACCCGGGCACGCCCCCCCCCCCCGACCCCCAUCGCCUCUGGGACCUCCUCUGAGAAAGGGCAAGACCAUGAUGUGCCACCCGGAGUCUUCUGCUGCCACAGCCUGUGUGCCUGCAUGCAGCCUGUGUGCAAUCUGUGUGCAGCCUGUGUGCUGGAGCAGCGGCUGGUGAUUAGAAGUCCUGGCUAUUUUCUGGGGUCAACAGCAGAUCCAAGAUCAUCUCAGCAACUCUCUGCCUGAAAACAAGCUCUGGGAGGGCACCGCCCAGGUCACCUCCGGCUUCUGGAGCAACGGUGCUGGAAGGGCUCAACCCCCGGACCCAGGCUUCGGGAUCCAUUAAAACGUGAAGUCACCUGCGCCCUGAGCAGGCACUGUCGGAGGAGAGUGCCUUGGCCAUGGCCCCCAGCAGACACCCCGCCAGGCUCUUCCAGCUCCGCUCAUGAGGAUGAGCACUGGCAGGGAACCAGGAUGGCUCUGGGCUGGAAUUGAGGGGCCUUGAUGUGAAAUCCCAGGGAUGGAUCCGGGAGGGGAGAGUCGCUUUCCUGUGGCCCGAGUCUGUCUUGUGACAGUGGCUCAGCUGAGUGUGCAGGACCCGCUCCCUCCCUCCCAGUGCCUGGAGUGGGUGGGGGCGUGGGGUGUCACCUGCUUCUUGGGUCCUCACCCUGCACAGGACCUGGAGCAUGUGUCUAUCUCUUUAGGGAAAGUUCAAAGCCAAACAGAGUUGUUUCCUCUGCUGCCCGCGUGCACUCUCUGGGGACCUAAUCACAGCGCCCCUGCCCCAAGCGUCCACCAUCAUUCCUCAAACACUCUUUCCGGCUCCAGCUUUCUACCUGCUCCACAGUCUGAAUCUUGGCGAUUUGGAGUUUGCAACGAAGGUGAGGAGAUGGGAGGCCUGUGUGCAGGCAUGUGCGUGCAUGUGUGUGUGUGUACACUGCGUGUGCGUGCAUGCACGUGUGUGUGCCUGCCCACAUACCACCUUCCACACAGCUCUGGAAACCAGGUUAGAAAAGGUUUUCUUUGAAUGUCUGGAGGGUGGGGACAGGAGGACGAAAGACCAGCUUCCACACCAGCUGUGGCAGGAGUGGCCCUUGGGUCAGGCUCGUGGGACCAGGCCUCCCUGAGCAGGGGACACUCAUGCCCAAGGGGAGAGCAGGGCCCUUCACUCCCGCCAUUAGCUCUCCAGGUGCGGCCGCCACCUGCUGGCUUCUGAAAGGUCAGACGCGGGUGGGGACAUGCCAAUGUCCAGUGAGCGGCUGGAGGCAGAUUCCCAGGGGCUCCUCUGCUCCCGCCUGGUUACCUGGCUCUGUGGGUGUGAUAUGUUCUCCAGAUUCUGCAGACUCCCUGGCCGAGUGCGGGAAGACACCCUUCCCGAGGCAGCCACGCGGUUUCUGAACCUUGGGGACAGGCGAGCACAAGUUCAGUCCCCCAAGACUUGGUCCCCAGCCUCCCCAGGGCAGGAAAGCACCUUCCUGCUAGGGGUGGGAGCUGCUGUCCAUGCCCUCCUGAGCUGCGUACUCUCGGCUCUCUGGGGACACCACAUGGUGGUGCAGGGUGGCCUCAUGCAGUGACCAGGGUGGAGCUGGCCUGCGGGUUCCAUCUCCCGGGGGCUCUGCCGGGGCCCAUCACAGCCCUUUCCAGGCCCCGAGUCCUUCUAGACCAGAGGCAGGGGUGUCGCACAUGUGUGGCUAUUUGCCUCCAAGUCACUCAACACCGAGUCAAACCAACACUAAGGGUCCUGGACACAUGGGCUGCAUUUCAACUAGCGGGUGCCAUGCAGGACAGCACAGGGCCCAGCCCCCAGAUGCUCAGAGAGGCCAAAGGCCCCUGCCACGUGGGUCAGAGCCUACGCCCAAGGUUGCCGUGACAUGGGCUGCCCGGCUAGGGCCCCCAUGGGGCUGGACCCCCCUCCUUUGUGCAAAGGACAGACUGUACCUCUGAACCUCUUUUAUCUUCUCCACUGAGCACCUGCGAGAUAACCCGAGCCGAGCAGAUGUUUGCAAAGUGGGGAAAGUGAAGACAAGGAAAUUUUGUGCAGGGGGUGGAGCUGCAGAGGCAGGGAAGGUGGGCCCCAGCCUCCCCCGACCUGCGAGACCAGUGUGGACAAAAGGCUGGGUGGGGUGUGGCUGAUAAAAGUUUGAGGGCAGAGGCAGGUCCUGCCUCACCUGGGGGCACCUCAGGACAGACGUCCCCUGGAACCCCCUGGACUCAUCUUCCUACGAGAAGUACUUAGGGAACUUUCCCCCAGUCAUAAUUAGUGAAGGCCCUUCCCAGUCUACGCUGGGGACACAUGGAGCUUGUGGUACAUCUUAGGAGGGAGGAGGCGCAGGGAGAAAACAGAAAUGCCUUAAAUCCAGGGUUCAGUGACCGUCAGCCAACUGGGCCCGAUGCUGUGGUCUAACUGCCUUGAGUUCUUAACAGACAUACUUUUGAGAUAUAAGUGAUUUGGGAGCAGGGGAUCCAAAUCCUUCAUCUGAAGAGAGUCUUGUAAUUUCCUUCAAAUGGAUACAACCAGCUGUACGUGAAGGUAUUUUAGUUCCUGGGAGAGUCUGGGUCCUGGUUUUGGUUUACACAACAUGAAAAAGAAGUCUAGUGUUUAAAUACCAUGUCUCUGAAAUCAACAGGAAACUUUAACAGGAAACUUAACUUUCCCUGAGACGUAUUCACAGGGAGUACAUCGGUGGGGGUGUGUGGAAAUAUAUAUAUUUAUGUAUCUUUAGAUAUAUUUAUUGUCUCUCUGUUUUUCUCCUGUGAUCGUUCAUCCAUUAUUGCACGAGGAACAUAAAUGAACUGUUUGACGGACCCCAGACCCCGAAGGAACUGCACUGGAUGCUGAGUAAGCCCAGGAGUUCAGGCAGCAUCCCCCCUGCUGUAGGUCUUUGUGUCAGAAGCUUACCUGGAAAAGAGCAAUUCUCAGAAUUUGGUAAAUCCGAAGAAUCGCAAAGGCACACAGCCCAGCUGCAGUCUCACUCAAUCAGAAACCCAGACUGGGACCUGUCUUUUUUUCCGGUUUCCAGAAGAUUCUGGUCACUAGUGGAUUUUAGGAACCACUGCUGUCUGUGGUCAGGCAAACUGAAGAAGGAGGCUUCAGGUAUAUUUGAAAGGAAACCACGAUCUACUCUUAAUGCUCAGAGGCGGCUGGAACUGUCAGCAUUAUCCUACCACCCAGGGCAUGAUGACAUGGUCACACUCCUCCUCCUGGGCUCCUGAAUCCACGGGUGACACACAAGACAGGCAGGUGUCCACCUUGUGCUCCAGGCCACUCCCUCACCCUGGACAGAAGCCACAUGCAAGGGGCUGGGGUCCCACCUGUCCCGCCUACGCUGGCUUGAGCCCAGAUGAGAGGUGACUGUGUCUCCUGGGUGGACAGUCCAGGGCAGCUGUGCUGUUUUGCGUCCCUGCUCUGGGAAGCCAGGGCCCCCGUGACUGUGUAAGGUCUCCGGGUGGUUUAGGCACUCAGUUCCAGCAGAGUGGCAGCAGAGCUAGUGGAGGGUCUGGAAGGCUCUGUGGCUAUGGGGCUGGGGAAGGAAAGCUGGCUGUCACCCCCAGUCCCUCCCAGAAGCCGGUUGCAGUGAGGUGCACGGUGCUUGGCCCCAGAGGGGCAUUGGAGCCUGGACGCCAACUGGCCUGCGUGUCCCUGCCACCUGGCUGCGAGCUCAGGUCCCAGGUUUUGGGAAGACGCCCCCAGGCUCUGUUCAGACCUGCAAGGCCCUGGGCACAUGCCAGAUGGACCAAGGGCAGGCUCAGCCCAACCUGGAGACGCUUCGUGCCAUGGACAGGAUGCCUGGGCCUCAGGCUUUCAUCCUUUUCCAUGGUCAGGGCCUAGAUUUCUGAGGUCAUGUUGGCGACAGCCUCACAGGGCUGCCCGGAUGCCUGGUGGGAUGGCUGACCCGAGGGCGAGCUGCCUCCGGUCAUUCCUCAGCCUGUGUUUGGCUGUUGUCCCCUUUCCUGCGCCUGCGCUCUGUGACUCAGGGUCAGUGGUCAACUUAAUGACUCGGACUCGCCUUGAACUUGGGGCCAGAGAGCCUGGUCCUGAGGGCAGUGCUGUGACCCUGAGGAGCCGUUAAGAGGCCUGAACUGAAGUUUGUGUGUAACCUUGCACGUUACCUUCAAAAUGAGGGCUCCGGGGUGAAGGGAGCAGUGGGUCCCUGGUGGUCGUGGCUGCCCUGACUGGACUCGCGGUCCUGCGUUAUCUAAAGAGCAUCGUGUCUGCUAGGAGGCUCUUGCUGAUGGUCAAACAGAAAUGCUUAAGCAAAGAGAUGCUUAAUAAUAUUAACCAGUUGAUCAAUAUUAAUUAAGAAUAUUGAUAAUAAAUAAAUACUAAGUAAUAA